CGUUCCCGGGCCUUGUACACACCGCCCGUCACACCACGAGAGUUUGUAACACCCGAAGUCGGUGGGGUAACCGUAAGGAGCUAGCCGCCUAAGGUGGGACAGAUGAUUGGGGUG
rnacentral:rRNA from 1 species